rnacentral:misc_RNA from 1 species
AUGAAUGUUAGGACGCUCUUUUUAGAGGUCCGACCCAUUUAUUUCCACACACCGUGCACAAACUACUUUUUACACCAUUUUUAUACUCUAUGUAUUGAAUGUACAAAAGUCUCUUGAUUGAGCAUACAAUUUAUAUUA